UUGGCGCCGCUUUUCAGGACAGAAGAUUGCUGUCCAAACCACGCCAGCUAUUUUUGCUAUGUCUUACGUGUGGUUUCACGGUAGGGUGCGAACUCUGCAGCCCCCAGAGGACAGCGUGCUCGGGGCGUGUGAGGGCAGCGGGCGUCGGCGCAGGCAGGCUCCCCAGGGCAGUGGGCAUUGCCCCCAGCUUCCAGAGUUCAAGGAGCAUUUGGACAAUGCUAUCAGACAUACAGUUUGACUUUUGUGUGGCGCUGUGUGGGGCCAGGAGUUGGACUCUGUGAUUCCUGUAUUCUUUUCCAACUCAUUCCAUGGUUCUGUGAUCUUCAUAGCUUCAGCUAUAAGGCUUUUUUUGUAGAUAUUCCUCAUAAGUGCAUCUGCCUAGAGAGACAGAAGAUGAUAAAAAGAUUCUAUUUGAGGGCUGCCCAGAGUUCUUUCCAGGCUUACAUUUGAGUGUUCCUACUUCAGACAGUGAAUAUUUGUCCGAACUUUUGCUUUCUCUCAGGACUGUGAAACUGCUGUAUCCUUCUUCACGUUGUUAUUGACCCUGAGGGCCAGAGCAGACCCACGUUUGUUUAUUCUGAUCAAUGGAUUUCAGCCAUCAACAGUGUCAACAGUCUUUAUAUCACACUUUCAAAGCUUUGAGGUAUUCAGAGUAGGGGCAUCCUUAAGUGUCUUUUGAAUAAUUUUUCAACACACAGUUUCCAAGGAAAUGUUCAUAGCAAAACUUUUAAUGAAUUCACAAGUUACAAAUUAUUUAGGUUUCAAACUCUAGCUCAGCAUUAAUUACAGAAAGAAAGAAAAUUUGGCCACUCUUUGAGCUCCAUAACAAUCUUUGCUACCUUUGUACUUAGUAUAUAAUUUGCUCAGAAUACUGACAACUUUGUUUUAGUGAUCACCCUGACCUCCUUGUGAAAGCAAAGGCAAAUUACUGCUACUUGCAUUUUAGCUGUGCCUGGCAUAUUUGGCUCCAUCUUCCAAAUAUGGAGCCAAAUAUGGAAGAUGGAAAGAGGUUGUGCAGGAACAAGGACUGAUAACAUCUGAUAAGUGCUGAUACCAUCUAUUUGAUGCUACCAGUUAGAAAUACAGACACCUAUCAACAGUCCAACAUCUGCUCCAUGGUAAAAGUCCUGCAGUGGGAGUCACGAGUCACACAUCUUUCGAUUGGUGCAUUUAGAACAUCUGUUGCUUUGUAUGGUGGCUUGAAUGUUUUUGCUAAUGGCAUUAUUCGGAGGUGCUUUAAAGAAAGGAUGAAGCUCAAGAGUCAAGAAGGACUGAAGUCAGCCAAAUAGCUCGGAAUAACUAGAGAGGAAACAAGUUACAACCCAAUCUAAUUGAAGAAUGUCAUUGUUCGUUUUUUAAACUUUUUGUCCGUGCAGUUUCUGUUCUGCACAGAAUCUCUCAAUAUCUCUCAGUAGGUUUCCUCUUUUUUCUCAAAAUUCUCCUGUAAGAAAAUUUGGAUAUAUACACUGUUCCCCAGCUGUCUGCAAAUGAUUGGUUUGAGCAGUUUCCAAGAGCAAGGCUGGCGGAGAAGGUUGAUGUGGACCCAGCAACAGGAGCUGCUGAAGUCUCAGUUGCUUCCACUUGCUUUCAUCCCGUUUGCAGGAGUCCACAGGCCUCUGCCUGAGGUGCUGCAUGAUCACCCCUUUGUGCCCCUGCAGGAGUGCGGUGGCUUUGGCCACAGGUUUAAGUAAUUCAUGUGGAUCUCUUAAACAUUAACUAGUCUAUAUAAAUAUUUAGCUACUAAAAGUCAGAAUGAUAUGACAGGCCUUCUCCUUUGCCAGAAGUAAUGCUGAGUGUCAGCAGCUUGACUCCACAAGAGGGAAUAAGGAGAGUAAAGCAGCACUUAAGGUUCCUGACUUGAUCUCUGAAAUUGUUCCGGAGAGCUUCAUUCUGGGCUGUCAGCUGACUCAAAGCCUGAGCAUGCUCUGUUUUCAUGACC